CUUUGCUUUGAUAUGCUAUAUUUGUAUUUACAGGUAUACAUUCUCUUUGCUUUGAUAUGUUAUAUUUGUAUGUACAGUUAUACUUCCUCUUUGCUUUGCUGUUAAUUUUCGUAUAUAGUUAUACUUCCUCUUUGAUGUCAUGCUAUAUUUGUAUAUAGUUAUACUUCCUCUUUGAUUCCAUGCUAUAUUUGUAUAUAGUUAUACUUCCUCUUUGAUUUCAUGCUAUAUUUGUAUGUACAGGUAUACUUCCUCUUUGCUUUGAUAUGUUGUAUUUCAAUUGGUAGGAUUUGUAAUAAAAAGUAAAAAAAAAAAAAAAAAACACAAAAAAUCAAUUACCUCUUCAUUUUGUAUUCCUUGUAGUAAUUGUGAUACCACUGUUCACCGUUCGUUAUCUCCACCUGUUCAUCCAUAACAAGAGAAUGUGGUUUCUUUUUAAUGAGAAGGAACAUGCAUUACUUUCACGGUGACUGAACAGUAGAUUCUGAAGCUAUUUCUCAUAAUGAAAGGUAAAGAUAACGAACAGUGAUCAAUCUCAUAACUCAUAUAAGGAAUACAAAAUUAGGAGUAGGGCAAACCCGGACCCCUGGAUAUACCAGGGGUGAGAUCAGAUACCUAGGAGGAGUAAGCAUUCCCUGUCAACCGGUAAAAUUCAGAGUAGGGCAAAUAUGAAUCCCUGGACAUACCGGAAAAUAAUUCAACAGAUUUGAUUGUUAUCGGAUAUCAAGGAUUGGACUUGUAUAAGGUCUUUAUUGUUUAAUGUAAAUAACAUAAAAGCAUCUCGAAAGUGGUAUAAAAUGGAGAGAGAAAAACAUACGUACUAGACCCCCAAAAAGUGUACACACAUCCAAAAUAAAGACAAAAAAAUGAUACUGUACAAAGUUUAAAACAAAAAGUUCUGACUGUAGAAAUAGGCAACACAUAAAAUGAAAACACCGGAAACACGUGGUAUAGAAUGACGUACGGUAGAUGAGGCUGAUGUUUCCGGCGGCGUCGAUACCGAAACAAUCCUACUGUACCGAGUGGUAUCUAUAGACCU